rnacentral:rRNA from 1 species
CGGUUGAUCCUGCCAGAGGUCACUGCUAUCGGUGUUCGACUAAGCCAUGCAAGUUAUAUGUUCUUCGUGAACAUGGCGAACUGCUCAGUAACACGUGGAUAACCUGCCCUUGGGACCGGCAUAACCCCGGGAAACUGGGGAUAAUUCCGGAUAUGCCAUGAUAGCUGGAAUGCUUCGUGGUUCAAAAGGAUUCGUCUGCCCAAGGAUGGGUCUGCGGCCUAUCAGGUAGUAGCGGGUGCAAGGUACCUGCUAGCCGACGACGGGUACGGGUUGUGAGAGCAAGAGCCCGGAGAUGGAUUCUGAGACAUGAAUCCAGGCCCUACGGGGCGCAGCAGGCGCGAAAACUUUACAAUGCGGGAAACCGCGAUAAGGGGACACCGAGUGCCAGCAUACAAUGCUGGCUGUCCGCAUGUGUAAACGGCAUGCGUUAGCAAGGGCCGGGCAAGACCGGUGCCAGCCGCCGCGGUAACACCGGCGGCCCGAGUGGUGAUCACUAUUAUUGGGUCUAAAGGGUCCGUAGCCGGUUUGAUCAGUCCUCUGGGAAAUCUGACAGCUCAACUGUUAGGCUUCCAGGGGAUACUGUCAGACUUGGGACCGGGAGAGGUAAGAGGUACCACAGGG